UGCGUCUUCCGAGGCCAGUAUGUCUAAUUUGUAAUGUUUAGCAAAUGUGUGAAGAGAUGAUCAUGUUGCUGCAAAACUAAUUUGAGAAGGUGUAGCUGAAGCCCUCAGGACCCAAGAUGUGGACAUAGCUCUGGUAGAAUGAGCUUUAAUGGAGAUAGGUGUAGGAACGUUAGAUGAAGAAUAUGCCAAACGAAUGGAGUCCAUUAACCAUCUGGCCAGAGAGCCUUUAGAUACCAUAAAACAAGACAAAACAUAUGUUUAUUUUCAGUGAUGUCCC